AAUGAUGCACUUGGGGAUUCUUCAGGAUGAUGAAAGACACUAAGGAAAUUCAAAUUACUCAGUAAUGUUAUGAUUAUAAAUUACAGAUUGAUCAAAGACAGAAAGGAAUGAGUAGGACAGAGAGAAUCAUAGCCCAGUGCUGGGAAGUCACACACCGCUCCACUCUUUCUAGACACCAAAGGUUUUGGUAUCAACCAGGAAACAGAACCUACGAGUAAGGUGAUUUCAGUCAACAGCAGAGCCAGAUCGGGACAAUGAUCGGGACAAUUCCACUGCUGCCAGGAGGUUUCGUGCGACUUUGUUUUAAAAGUUGGGGCUCUAGCCUGUGUUUCUGCUGUUGAGGCCAAUCACCAUCAUUACCAGCGUCUUUGAAGCUGUCUCUGUUUCUCCCAAAGGAAAAGAAAAACUGUAUCCUUUAUUGUAACCAUCCAGCGUUUCUGCUGAGUAUA